GGGCCCGCACAAGCGGUGGAGUAUGUGGUUUAAUUCGAUGCAACGCGAAGAACCUUACCAGGGUUUGACAUCCUGCGAAUCUCUUGGAAACAGGAGAGUGCCUUCGGGAACGCAGUGACAGGUGGUGCAUGGCUGUCGUCAGCUCGUGUCGUGAGAUGUUGGGUUAAGUCCCGCAACGAGCGCAACCCACGUCUUUAGUUGCCAGCAUUUAGUUGGGCACUCUAGAGAGACUGCCGGUGAUAAACCGGAGAAGGUGGGACGACGUCAAGUCAUCAUGGCCCUUACGAGUAGGGCUACACACGUGCUACAAUGGCGCAUACAGAGGGCGGCCAACUUGCGAGAGCUAGCAAAUCCCAUAAACCGUGGCUC
rnacentral:rRNA from 1 species